GACGAACCGUGCGAACGUUAUUCGGAAUCACUGGGCUUAAAGCGCGUGUAGGCGGGACGGCACGUCGGUCGCUGAAGGCCCCCGGCUCAACCGGGGAACGGGCGCCGAUACGACCGGCCUGGAGGGACGUAGGGGGACCUGGAACUUCCGGUGGAGCGGUGAAAUGCGUUGAGAUCGGAAGGAACGCCCGUGGCGAAAGCGAGGUCCUGGACGUUUUCUGACGCUGAUGCGCGAAAGCCAGGGGAGCAAACGGG
rnacentral:rRNA from 1 species